GACGAACGCUGACGGCGUGCUUAACACAUGCAAGUCGAACGGAAAGGCCCUGCUUUUGUGGGGUGCUCGAGUGGCGAACGGGUGAGUAACACGUGAGUAACCUGCCCUUGACUUUGGGAUAACUUCAGGAAACUGGGGCUAAUACCGGAUAGGAGCUCCUGCUGCAUGGUGGGGGUUGGAAAGUUUCGGCGGUUGGGGAUGGACUCGCGGCUUAUCAGCUUGUUGGUGGGGUAGUGGCUUACCAAGGCUUUGACGGGUAGCCGGCCUGAGAGGGUGACCGGCCACAUUGGGACUGAGAUACGGCCCAGACUCCUACGGGAGGCAGCAGUGGGGAAUAUUGCACAAUGGGCGGAAGCCUGAUGCAGCAACGCCGCGUGCGGGAUGACGGCCUUCGGGUUGUAAACCGCUUUCGCCUGUGACGAAGCGUGAGUGGCGGUAAUGGGUAAAGAAGCACCGGCUAACUACGUG
rnacentral:rRNA from 1 species